CCUACGGGGCGCAGCAGUGAGGAAUAUUGGUCAAUGGACGAGAGUCUGAACCAGCCAAGUAGCGUGAAGGAUGACUGCCCUCUGGGUUGUAAACUUCUUUUAUAAAGGAAUAAAACGGGGCACGUGUGCCUUUUUGCAUGUACUUUAUGAAUUAGGAUCGGCUAACUCCGUGCUAUCAGCCGCGGUAAUACGGAGGAUCCGAGCGUUAUCCGGAUUUAUUGGGUUGAAAGGGAGCGUAGAUGGGUUGUUAAGUCAGUUGUGAAAGUUUGCGGCUCAACCGUAAAAUUGCAAUUGAUACUGGCAGUCUUGAGUACAGUUGAGGUAGGCGGAAUUCGUGGUGUAGCGGUGAAAUGCUUAGAUAUCACGAAGAACCCCGAUUGCGAAGGCAGCUUACUAAACUGUGACUGACAUUGAGGCUCGAAAGUGUGGGUAGCAAACAGGAUUAGAUACCCUAGUAGUC
rnacentral:rRNA from 1 species